GUCCACUUCCGCCCUUUAUUUUUCCGUUGGCGAUUUUAUGAAUGGAAGCCGCGGCAGAUCUAAGCCACAGCUGGUUUACGUGUUGCAUGGUGGCAAUAGACCAAAUGUAAGGAUCGUUUGUGCAGUCACACGUCAAAUAUUGGAACAUUAUUGAGAGUUGAACACAUGAUGCAUCGUUUAGGAGUAUUAUGGCUGGAUGGUUGCCCAAGUGUCAUAAAUCAAAAUAACGGAUGGUAGAGAGUUGGCUAAGGGGGAACUGAGGUCACAUCAAAGACAAAAAAGGGACUAAGUAGAUCAUUGUCAUUUUAUAGUGUUGCCUGAUUUGUUCCAUUUGCAUUACCCACUGUUAAUAUUAUUGUUCGUUUUGUUUUUUUGUUGUAGAUUUCUUUUUGACCUGACGGUGGCUGCGGGGUUGCCUUCACUGGUGGAUGGCGGUGGUGUGGUGGUUUGGUCACUUUAUUUGUCUUUUCUUUUAGGUCUGCAGUGUGAUUUGCCGUGAGCUGAUUGGACUCCAUAUUAAGUGUUGAGGACUGGACUGAGGAGGCUAAGGUGUGUAUUGAGGGAAGGGGUUGGUCUGAUAAAGAAAAGGUGGUGUUUCUGCUUGACCAUCUGGUGGGGGAAGCUAGAAUGGAGAGAAAACUCCGUCCACCAGCUGCUAGGGAAACUCCAGAAUCUGUUUUUGAUAUUUUACGAGACUUGUAUGGGGGGAAACAGACAUUUGUACAAUUACAACAAAGGUUUUAUGAACGAAAACAGAAAGAAGGUGAAUCGUUGACUGAAUUGUCCCAUGCUUUAAUGUCCUUAAUGGACUUGAUUCUUGCUGGUAAUCCAGGCAGUUUUCCAAGUUCUGAUAGGGUGCUUCGAGAUCAGUUUGUGGAACACGUUCGAGAUGUAAUGCUAAAACGUGAACUUAAACGAUUAGUACGGGAGAAGCCAUCUUCUACUCUACUGGAGGUUCGAAGUGAAGCUCUUAGGUGGGUGGAAGAGGGGAAUAGAGAAGUAGUUGCUUCAUAUGUUCAGCCAUGGUGUAAUGUUACUCAAGGCAGGGUGGUUGAGCCUGAACCUAAGGUUAGAUUUCAAGAAUCUUCAGAGCUAAAAGAAGUUAAAGAGAUGUUGAGGUAGCAACAAGUACAAAUAAAUGAACUUACUCAGCGUCUCGAAAGCUUUAUGUCUCAAAAGAAUGAGUCCUCUGUCACCUCAACUAGGCAAAAUAGUUCACGACGAUGACUUCGCUGUAAUCGAGUUGGGCAUAUAGCUAGAUAUUGUUGACAACCCUGGCCUAUAGAUGCAAACUCUAGAUCACCUCAAGUGACUGUGAACGAGACUUCUGUGGGGGAGCCUGAUAGUGUAGUAUCCCCUACUGUUUUGAGUCAUAUUGUGGAGGGGGAUAAUGAAGUUUCACAGACACCUGUUUGCCCUACUAUUGUACAACGUCUUGUAGGCAAAUGUCCUAUUGUAAUUUUGCAGAUGGGGGGAGUAGAGAUUUCCUGUUUAUUGGAUACAGGGUCAAUGGUGACCACCGUAACAGAGUCAUUUUUUGAGAAGCAUUUUUGACAACUGGGAGUAGAUGCACUUAAAAAAUGUAAUUGGCUUCAAUUAAAAGCAGCCAAUGGUCUUGAGAUACCAUAUGUGGGAUACUUUGAAACCGAUGUGACUGUGUUGGGGCAAACUCUUCUAGGACAAGGUAUUUUGGUUGUGAAAGACCCUGUUGAUACUUUGUUACAUCAGAGGAAAGAGCUGACUCCUGGCCUUUUAGGCAUGAAUGUGAUUGGACAGUGUUAUAAUGAUUUGUUUGAAAAACAUGGCCCAGCACUAUUUUCAGUUCCACAGGUCAGGCAGGCAGAAUUAGGCUGGAAGGAUGCCCUGUUACAGUGCCAUCGAGCAGAUGAUGCCCCUACUCCUGGAUUUAUUGGUUCUAUAAAAGUGCAGUACCGCCAUCCUGUUCAGAUUCCAGCCGGGACCAUGAGAUUUCUUUUUGACCUGACGGUGGCUGCGUGGUUGCCUUCACUGGUGGAUGGCGGUGGUGUGGUGGUUUGGUCACUUUGUCUUUUCUUUUAGGUCUGCAGUGUGAUUUGCCGUGAGCUGAUUGCAGUGGGAGCACGUUUGUCUGUACGCCAUUUCUGUCUUCACAACUUGGGUAACCCGUGGCCAUCUGUGGGUUUUGUUAUUUUUAUUUGGUUUAUUUUUGUUUACCUUUUUUUGUGGGUAAUUGCAUUGAAGGUCUGUUGCAUCCUUUUAACAUGUUAAUGUUUUUUUCCUUCGUAAUUAUAUUAUUUUCUUUUGAAUAAAAUGUUUGUUUAUUGAAGCUU